UACGUAGGGUGCAAGCGUUGUCCGGAAUUAUUGGGCGUAAAGAGCUCGUAGGCGGUUCGUCGCGUCGGCUGUGAAAACCCGGGAGCUCAACUCCGGGCCUGCAGUCGAUACGGGCGGACUUGAGUUCGGCAGGGGAGACUGGAAUUCCUGGUGUAGCGGUGAAAAUGCGCAGAUAUCAGGAGGAACACCGGUGGCGAAGGCGGGGUCUCUGGGCCGAUACUGACGCUGAGGAGCGAAAGCGUGGGUAGCAAACAGG
rnacentral:rRNA from 1 species